rfam:Schistosoma haematobium scaffold87_33, whole genome shotgun sequence.
GCAUUGCUGAGGAGUUUCACGAUAGAACGAAACGGCCGUCCAAUAC